rnacentral:lncRNA from 1 species
GAGCGCAUUGGACAUAGAUAUUUGAUUUAUUAGGUACGGAACUUCUUCCUGAGAUGUGAGACUUAUUGGGAUUUUUGAAGACAUUACACAUUUAGAUCUACACGGACAGAACACUUUGGAGAGAACACAUUUGGACAAAUUUUUUUCUGGAGAUACGCUACUGUUCAUCUUCUUUUUCUUGAUGAAGAAGACAAACCAAACACCUCUAACCCGCCGACCUCCCUGAUUGACAAUCCACAGCACACCACCGUCGACCAACCCCGUCCCUCACCCCUCACACCAGUUCCCGUUGUUUCCUAGCAGCCCAGAAGCCCGUGUCGACCAGCAGUAGCAGUACGCCCUCACCACCAACAACCCGUCAUUUCCGUCACCAAAUGACCAUCUCCGUUCACCCUCCAACCUCACGUCGAGCUAGCAGUAGCAGCCACUGCUUCACAUGUCGGUUGACCACUCGUCCUACAUUGCUGGUGCUGCAUCCUCCAGCAACCCGUCGACCAGUAUUUCAGCAGCGACCAGCGUUCUAGCACCCUACCAGCGAGACCACCACUCUACUCCAAAUCACAGCCAACUUUAAGGGCCUGAAAAAUCUAGUUUUUGGUCGUAAAAAAUGGAGUCCAGUUGAGCUAACCGGUGAACUUUUCAAUUAUUCGAGGUGUCCUAUUUGCGACUCUUGUUCAGUAGCAUUUCUGGUUCAGUGGAGGUUGCCGUACGUUGGUUUCGGUCUACGGUUGUCGUUGUCCAUUUUUCCGGCGAGGUUUCGGUGCUGCUGCAUUGUUGUUCGGUUUCACCUUCUAUUUGGCUUCUCCUUAUUUCUUUGCUUUCUUAAGAGAUGAGAUUAAAAGAUUUGAAGCUUGAGACGAAUUCGCAAGGCAAAUACUUGUUGGAAUUUGGAAUUAGCUGCAAAAUGAGGUAAGUGUUUGAUCUAUCCUAGCUUGAGGGAAUAGAAGUUAAGUAUAUUUGCUAAUUGUUAUAUGUGGAGUCCGACGUAUAGGCAUGGUGACAAAUAUCUAUACGUUGGGGUUCGAGCAAGACCGUGCAUCUUAAAUCGAUAAUUUUGCACUCUUUGUGAUUCUAUGAAAGAAUAAAUUGAUUUAGCUCAAAUGAAGUGACAAGACUAUCUUGUUUAGUUAAUCAAUUUCAUAUAAUGUGUUAGUUGAGAAAGAAAUGAGUUAAAAGAGAGUGUAUUGAAGUUAUUCCCUUGCCGGGAUAUUUUGAGAUGUUAGUUGUACCCUUGCUGGGACUUAUCUGCUGUUUUGUUCUCCCUUGCAGGGAUGUUUAAUACUGUAUGUUUAUUUUCCUCACCCUAAUUGGUUAUGACUGUUGACUUGGGGAGGAAGGGUGAUUAUGCACGAAAUGUCAUUCCGUGCCACGUUUUGAUAUUUAUGCAUGAAUGGUCAUUCCGUUCCAUGUUUUGAAUAAUUAUGCACGAAGGGUCAUUCCAUGCCUUGAUAUGAGAGUAUGUGACGAAAAGUACGAAGGUUGAUGUCGUGCACUUUAUUUGACUAUUUUGUUGAGAACGGGAGUAAAAGCACGAAGGUCGGUGUCGUGCAGUUAUUGAUUUACCUAUUCUCCUUAAUUGAUGUGCCUCUAUAUGUAGAGUUGUUUUGUGUUUUUCCUUAUUCUUGUUAGGGGCUUGGUUUUGAUUCCUUAUAAUGGUGAUGUCGUGCACUUUCUACUUUUUGUUUAUUUGUUGUUAGCAAUUCAAGUGUUUAAAAUAUUCGAAUUCCUUAAUGUUUUGACCCUUCGUGUUAGAACCUAUAUAUAUAUAUAUAUAUAUAUACUAAAAUGAAGCCACAUGGCAAUUUUAGGACAACAUUAAUAUUAAAAAUUAUCAAUGGAGACACAAUUAAUGAAAGUUAUUUAUAAAUCUUAUACAUAAUCUAAAUAGGUCUUAGACAAAUCUAAUCUCUCUCUCUCUCUCUCUCUCUCUCUCUCUCUCUCUCUAUAUAUAUAUAGAGAGAGAGAGAGAGAGAGAGAGAGAGAGAGAGAGAGAGAGAGAGAGAGUUCAAUACUUCAAGCUUCAAUAAUUGUACCUUAAUUGAAAAAUGUAUUUUCUUUAUCAAAUGAUUACUAAAUAUAAUUUCAUAUUUUCUUGUUGAUUUUCUAAUUGGGUUGGAAGUUGUACUCUACUUUGUGUUAAGUAAAUGAGGCUUGUUGAACAUUCUUAAUUGUAUUGGGUUAUGGACCAUGUGAACUGAGUAACAUGAGAAUAUUGUUGUGCAGUGUGAAAUAGAAAUAUGUUGGCACCAGGUGUCAGGGAAAAUAUUAUAGUUUUAUUUAAUUGCAUGGGAGGUGUCCGUCCGAUUGUAAUAUAAAUAUGGGUACAACAUGCAGUAAAAAUAUGAAAGUGGGUCGGGACCUAUAUUACUAUGAUUUUGAAAUGUGGCGUCACAAGGUGACCUUUACCCGAAAGAAUGAUAUUCGAAAGAUACUUUUGAAGAAAAUAUAUUCGAAAUAUAUUUAUUGAAAAGCAUAUUAUCCUAGAGAUUAUUACUUGAAGAAUUUAAAGGCGAAAGAUUUAUAUUUGAAGGACUUGAUUAAUUGAUUGCACUUGCAUUUAUUAUUUGUUGAGAAGCAAUUUUUGUGUUCAUGCGCCUGCUAUUUAUAUCAUUGGUUGAUCAUCGUUGCCAUUAUUAUUAUUUUCUUCCUAUUAUUUUAUACGUUAUAAACUGUAGAGGUUUAUGUGAGUGUCUGGUCCUAGCCUUGUCACUACUUUGCCAGGAUAGGCUAGACACUUACCAGCAGAUGGGGUCGGUUGUGCUGAUACUACACUUCUGUAUAUUUUUGUAUACAGAUCCAUGCAUUUGAUCGAUGGUAGCUAUUCGUUGCGGUGGAGACUCAAGAUAAACCUGCUAUAGAGUUCGCAGUCCUCAAAGUCACCUUCAAUUGUACUUAUUUCUAUUUGUUCCCUUUGUUUCGGAACAGUGAUGUAAUUAUAUUGUAUAACUACUCUUAGAAAAGCUUGUGGCUUGUACUACUAGUUUUGGGAAUUGUAAAUUAUUUAGAGAAAAUUUAUUUGAAGUUAAUAAAUAUCGAUGUUAUUUCA